UGACAGUCUAAAUAUUUAUAAAAUGAUGCUCACUAUUCUUUUAUUUUGUCUUAAGAUCCAUCCAAUUCUGCAUAAAUCAGUUCAAAAAAAAAGAAAAAAAGAUCCAUCCAAUUCCCCAUACGUACUGUUGAAUCUGCUUUCCAUUACCGAUCUACACUAUACAUUAAUCAAAGGUGUUACGAGCUGGAAGUUGCUCAAAGGGAGGAGGAGAUAACCCUUUUGCCACAUUCACAGUAAACCAUUAGUUUUAUCCCAUUUUCUUAUCAGCCACUAUCUUCUCC
rnacentral:lncRNA from 1 species